rnacentral:rRNA from 1 species
CCUACGGGAGGCAGCAGUGGGGAAUAUUGGACAAUGGGGGCAACCCUGAUCCAGCCAUGCCGCGUGUGUGAAGAAGGCCCUCGGGUUGUAAAGCACUUUCAGUGAGGAAGAACGCCUGGUGGUUAAUACCCAUCAGGAAAGACAUCACUCACAGAAGAAGCACCGGCUAACUCCGUGCCAGCAGCCGCGGUAAUACGGAGGGUGCGAGCGUUAAUCGGAAUUACUGGGCGUAAAGCGCGCGUAGGUGGCUUGAUAAGCCGGUUGUGAAAGCCCCGGGCUCAACCUGGGAACGGCAUCCGGAACUGUCAAGCUAGGGUGCAGGAGAGGAAGGUAGAAUUCCCGGUGUAGCGGUGAAAUGCGUAGAGAUCGGGAGGAAUACCAGUGGCGAAGGCGGCCUUCUGGACUGACACUGACACUGAGGUGCGAAAGCGUGGGUAGCAAACAGGAUUAGAUACCCUAGUAGUC